rnacentral:tRNA from 1 species
GCCUGGGUGGCUCAGCGGUUGAGCGUCUGCCUUUGGUUCAGGGCGUGGUCCCGGUCUUGGGAUCAAGUCCCACAUCAGGCU